rnacentral:lncRNA from 13 species
AUGCCUGUGGUGCCCGAGGCGCUGCUGGGCCAGCGAGGGGAGCGGUGGUGGAGAAAGCCCGCACGUCCUGCCGCAGGAAAUGGCAGCCGGUGUCAUCUCCAUCUGCUUCCUUCCGGCUCCUUGGGAGCAGGGCUGUGCCUGGGCAGCUGCUCCCGUGCUGUCACGGAGGGGACCAGCGCAAGGUGCCGGCAUUGUUCCCGCAGCAGCCACAUUCCUGCCACUGCCGGCGGAAAUGCCGGAGCGAGCGAAGGCCUGAUGCUCCCUGGGGAUGGGACAAAGCCUAGGCCUGCCCAUCCUCCUCCUUGGGAGGGCACAGGGAUCCUUGUGGGGGACCCUGGAGGCUGUUGGGGUGCAGCUCCGGGGGUCUCACACAUGCAUCAGCCCACCAGGAACAUGGGCACUGAGGGAUGCUGGUGGUGCCCAGAUGGUGGGGCUGGAGGAGCUGGUGGUGUCCCACGGCCACACCGAGCAUCCCUUGCCAGCUCUGGGUGGGCGGUGAGCUCUCCCUGUUCCCCCCCAGGGGCAUCCAGAGGUCCCCAAGGACCGCAGGGCUCCUGCUACUGCUGCAGCCCUCUCCCAGUGCCCCUGGCAUCCCUGCCAAGUGAGCUGGGACCUGCAGACCCCAUCCUUGCCCUGCCGGGACAGACCCUGCUUGCACACACAGGAGCAGGACUGCCCUGUGCCCACUGUCCAUGUCCCCAGCACUGCCCUGUGCCCACUGCCCACUCUGCCCCAGCUCCCUGUUGCAGUGCAGGGGCUCUGGCACUGCCGUGGCACACGGGGCACAGGGAGCACGGCCGAGCUCAGCAGCUCCCACCUGCCUGUGGGCAGCAGGCCAGGCCAGGAAGAGCCAGAGAUUCCUUAGGUCUCCCGGCUCAGAAGCUUUUCCUCCUUCCAUGCUGGCCACAGCCCAACCGGGAGGUCCUCCCUGGCCUCCUCCUUCCAGGCUGGCGCAGGAGGGCUGGGGUCAGGGCUCAGCUGUGCAGCCCCUGGCCACAGCCCAAGCACUUGGGGCUGGGCGAUGCCUGGGGGACGUGGGACAUCGCUGCCUUGCUGGCACGGCCGUGGCAGUCGCUCCUCAGGUCUGCUGGGCCCCCCACUGCCUGUCCUGCCCAUGCCCAGGCAGGGACCUCACCAAAUCUCUUGGGCAAGGUGCCUGCUGCUGCAGCUGGGGAGGCAAACCACGGGCAUUGA